CAGGAUGAGGAUGUUGCUACCUCCUAAGCAAUCUAUGGCAGCAGUUGCAGGUCACACUACGUCAGAGCAGGAACCGAAGCAGCAGCAGCCAUCAGGAAGAAUGAUGCUGGCUCAGCCUGCCUUCUUAUAGAACUCAGGAUUACCCACCUGCCCAAGGAUAGCACCAUUCACAGUGGGCUGGGCCAUCCCCGAAUCAUUCAUCAAGAAAAUGACCUCCAGACUUGCCUUCAGGCCAAUCUAACGGGUACACAUUCUCCAUUGAGAUUCCCUCCUCUCAGAAGACAAAAAAAAGAAAGAAAGAAAGAAAGAAAGAAACUAACCAGCACAGAUACUAUCACAAUCAGAGCUAUGCAAGGGAAGAUAUCAAGAUGACCAGACAAGUCCUUUCGUGAGACUAUGUAGGCAGAAAGGGAAGGUCUUUGGUAAUCAGGAGUGAUAAGUAAAGCCCACCUACAAAAUAAACCCAGUGGGGUGAGAUU